GCUGGUCGCUGGGUGCCACCGCACGGGCGUUGUUUAGGGUUGCUUGUGUCCCGGGUGGACGUGCCGGUUUGCAUUGAGCCGGGGCCAAAAAUGAACGAAACGACCAUGCUUGUGAGAUGGGUGUACCGGGACGCUUCAACUCGCGUGCGUUUUAAUUUGUGACAGGAAUUGGGGGUGAUCGCCUGGGUUACGAAACUGGCUGGACUGCUUUGCGCGAUUAAGGCCUUGUUUAGAUCUGAAUUUUUUUUUUUGAUUUCGCCACUGUAGUAUUUUCGUUUUUAUUUGACAAAUAUUAUCCAAUCAUGGACUAACUAGACUCAAAAGAUUCGUCUUACAAAUUACAGACAAACUGUGUAAUUAGUUACUUUUUUUCAUCUAUAUUUAAUGCUUCAUGCAUGUAUCGUAAGAUUCGAUGGUUUUUGGAUUUUAGGUGAAACUAAACAAUGCCUAAGUUUGUUGGGGGUUGACUCUGUUGUUUAUCAUCUUAUUCUAUUCUACCAAUCAAACAUAUAUAACUAUCUACUAGAAGAGAAGG
rnacentral:lncRNA from 1 species